rnacentral:rRNA from 1 species
GCUGGCGNCGUGCCUAUCAUGCUAGUCGAGCGAACGGACGAGAAGCUUGCUUCUCUGAUGUUAGCGGCGGACGGGUGAGUAACACGUGGAUAACCUACCUAUAAGACUGGGAUAACUUCGGGAAACCGGAGCUAAUACCGGAUAAUAUUUUGAACCGCAUGGUUCAAAAGUGAAAGACGGUCUUGCUGUCACUUAUAGAUGGAUCCGCGCUGCAUUAGCUAGUUGGUAAGGUAACGGCUUACCAAGGCAACGAUGCAUAGCCGACCUGAGAGGGUGAUCGGCCACACUGGAACUGAGACACGGUCCAGACUCCUACGGGAGGCAGCAGUAGGGAAUCUUCCGCAAUGGGCGAAAGCCUGACGGAGCAACGCCGCGUGAGUGAUGAAGGUCUUCGGAUCGUAAAACUCUGUUAUUAGGGAAGAACAUAUGUGUAAGUAACUGUGCACAUCUUGACGGUACCUAAUCAGAAAGCCACGGCUAACUACGUGCCAGCAGCCGCGGUAAUACGUAGGUGGCAAGCGUUAUCCGGAAUUAUUGGGCGUAAAGCGCGCGUAGGCGGUUUUUUAAGUCUGAUGUGAAAGCCCACGGCUCAACCGUGGAGGGUCAUUGGAAACUGGAAAACUUGAGUGCAGAAGAGGAAAGUGGAAUUCCAUGUGUAGCGGUGAAAUGCGCAGAGAUAUGGAGGAACACCAGUGGCGAAGGCGACUUUCUGGUCUGUAACUGACGCUGAUGUGCGAAAGCGUGGGGAUCAAACAGGAUUAGAUACCCUGGUAGUCCACGCCGUAAACGAUGAGUGCUAAGUGUUAGGGGGUUUCCGCCCCUUAGUGCUGCAGCUAACGCAUUAAGCACUCCGCCUGGGGAGUACGACCGCAAGGUUGAAACUCAAAGGAAUUGACGGGGACCCGCACAAGCGGUGGAGCAUGUGGUUUAAUUCGAAGCAACGCGAAGAACCUUACCAAAUCUUGACAUCCUUUGACAACUCUAGAGAUAGAGCCUUCCCCUUCGGGGGACAAAGUGACAGGUGGUGCAUGGUUGUCGUCAGCUCGUGUCGUGAGAUGUUGGGUUAAGUCCCGCAACGAGCGCAACCCUUAAGCUUAGUUGCCAUCAUUAAGUUGGGCACUCUAAGUUGACUGCCGGUGACAAACCGGAGGAAGGUGGGGAUGACGUCAAAUCAUCAUGCCCCUUAUGAUUUGGGCUACACACGUGCUACAAUGGACAAUACAAAGGGCAGCGAAACCGCGAGGUCAAGCAAAUCCCAUAAAGUUGUUCUCAGUUCGGAUU